rnacentral:rRNA from 1 species
AACGAACGCUGGCGGCAGGCUUAACACAUGCAAGUCGAGCGCCCCGCAAGGGGAGCGGCAGACGGGUGAGUAACGCGUGGGAAUCUACCGAGCCCUGCGGAAUAGCUCCGGGAAACUGGAAUUAAUACCGCAUACGCCCUACGGGGGAAAGAUUUAUCGGGGUUUGAUGAGCCCGCGUUGGAUUAGCUAGUUGGUGGGGUAAUGGCCUACCAAGGCGACGAUCCAUAGCUGGUCUGAGAGGAUGAUCAGCCACAUUGGGACUGAGACACGGCCCAAACUCCUACGGGAGGCAGCAGUGGGGAAUAUUGGACAAUGGGGGCAACCCUGAUCCAGCCAUGCCGCGUGAGUGAUGAAGGCCUUAGGGUUGUAAAGCUCUUUCACCGGUGAAGAUAAUGACGGUAACCGGAGAAGAAGCCCCGGCUAACUUCGUGCCAGCCGCCGCCGUAAGAC